AUGAGCAUCCGUUUGGAUUCCUGGCCAUUUCUCGUCAGCUUCACUCUUGGGUCUCCAGAAGACAUACCCAUGUUGCCUCUAGACGCCCAGCAAAGUCAAAGUCAAACACCUCUUGAAAAACUUGAGACGUUGACACUGGAAGGGCCCAAGAGCUUGCUCAGAAGCUCCGGAUUGUCCAGCUCACAACUUAUGGUUUGGAAAUGCUUUCGGUUCCUGAGACAUCUGACGAUUAGCAGAUGCAGUGAUCUUGUCCGCUGGCCAACAGAGGAGCUCCGGUGCUUGGAUCGCCUCCGCUCUCUGUGCAUCGUUGAUUGUGAAAACCUGGAGGGGGGCACUUCAUCGUCUGAGGAGGAGACCCUUCCUCUGUCCCUGGAGAAAUUGACGAUUUCAGGCUGCUGCAGUGUGGUAGCCUUGCCUUGGAACCUUAGAAAUCUUGCUAAGCUGAGUGAUCUCUGGGUGAAAAAUUGCGAUGGCCUGGAAGUGCUGCCUGAUGGGAUGUGUGGCCUCACUUCUCUUAGGAAAUUGAAUAUUUGGUAUUGUCCAGAACUGGAGGAAUUCCCCCAUGGUCUCCUGGAGCGGUUGCCAGCCCUCGAAGAAUUUGUCAUACUUGGUUGCGCGGGGUUGCAAACACGAUGCAGGGAAGGUGGGGAGUAUUUCCACUUGCUCUCCUCUGUACCACGCAAGUGGUUUGGUUGA
rnacentral:rRNA from 1 species